ACAAUGGCGGUCCAAUGGUAGAAUUCUCACCUUCCACGUGGGAGACCCAGGUUCAAUUUCUGGCCAAAGCA
rnacentral:tRNA from 1 species